rnacentral:lncRNA from 1 species
GGAGGUAGAGUUUCUUGGGGCUUCUGAGACAGGUUGGGAUUGGGAUGGUGUGGAAUUGCUUGGUGGUAGGGCUGUAUGUGCGGGGGAAGAGGCCAAUUCAUCAGUUGUGGGAAGUUAGCGAAGUUGGGCUGAUUGUGGUAGAAGGUUGGGUGUGGGUAUAAAGUUGUGUGGUGGAUUGCUUUGGGCGUCUGCGCGGCUGCCUUCGCAACUUCUUCCGCAGCUUUUCUCUCUUCUUCCUUCUUUUUGGGGCACCACUCUGUGUUGUGAUGAUUCUGAUGGCCGUGGUUGACACAGUAAAAUGACUUUGGUUGUCU